AACUAGCCUGGCCGUGGGGAACGGUCCCCGCCGCCCCUCAGCCCGGCAAGAGACUGGCGGCGAGCGGAGCAACCCGGGGGGCAGGGAGCCGAGCCCCGCUGCCCCCAGCCCCUGCGGAGGGCGAGGAAAGAUCCCACUUACGGUGCCGAUCCCCCCCGCGCGUGGAAAUCGCUUCAAACCGCGUCUAAGGAGCUUUUCCCAGCCCGAGCCCGAGCUCCUCAGUUACCCGAGAGUCACGUCGGAGCGCGGCGAAGUGCAGCCGGCCGCAGAUGUGUUGCACACAAGAACAAAACUAUUCUGAACUUGAAAGGCCACCUCUUGCCUCAGGAACAUAAUGAAAUAUAAUGAUGACCAGCUGCAUCAUCAAUUAUUAUUUAUCACAAGUGCUAAGAAUUAGCUGAUUAUGAUUAAAUAAAUGAUCACCACUUAGACCUAGAUCCUGCA
rnacentral:lncRNA from 1 species